rnacentral:tRNA from 1 species
GGAGAGGUGGCAGAGCGGUUGAAUGCGAUAGUCUUGAAAACUAUUAAGCCCUAAAAGCUUCGGGAGUUCGAAUCUCCCCCUCUCCG